ensembl:lncRNA
GCAAAAUCAUUUAUUUACAUCUUAGGCUCAUGGUAAAAUCUUUCUAAGAUAGUAUAGCUAAGAUGAAAUACACAAAGUCAAUAUAAACACAUACACAUUAAUCUUUAUAUAAAAAGAAUCCUAGCAGUGGCUUUAGAUGAACUCAGUUUUCCUUCACAAAACCAAUGUUCUCUUAAAUCAUGCUGUGAUAAUGUCUUCCCAUAAGGACAGAUUUAACUUACAUCAUUAAAAAAAAAAAACUGACAAACAAAAAGCUAACUUGGGUUUACUAUUAAAUAGCUAUCCAUAUGUCAUAAACCAAAACUAUUUUGCAGUGCUGAAAUGUUCAGAUAGGUCCAAAUAUGAUAUAAUGAGGGAUACUUUGGUUAUCAGGUUUUGACUUAGUUUUGGCAUUACUUCUGUAGUUAAUUAUAUCAUUCCAUAAGUCUUAAAAAAAUAAAUAAAAUACUGUGGUUGGUUCUACCUCUCCCCUCCUACUUCUCUCCUUUUACAAAUGUGAGCUUAAGAGUUCAGGCUUCUGAAAAGCAGAAGAAAGCAAAUAGAACAAUCUAAGUUUUAUUAUCCAAAUUUUCCUUUUCUAAGGGCAAUAUAUUAUUACAAAGGCAAAUUUAAAUUUUGAUUUUUUUUGCUUUUUAGGGCCGCACCCAUGGCAUAUGGAGGUUCCCAGGCUAGGGAUCCAGUCGGAGCUACAGCUGUUGGCCUACGCCACAGCCACGCCAGAUCCAAGCCACGUCUGCAACCACAGCUCACAACAAUGCUGGAUCCUUAACCCGCUGAGCAAGGCCAGGGAUCAAACCCGCAACCUCAUGGUUCCUAAUCAGAUUCAUUUCUGCUGUACCACAAUGGGAACUCCUACAAAGGCAAAUUUGAUUCUGUUUGGUUGAAAUAAAGAUCCUAUAUUCUAAGCCUAAUUUAAGUAACUGUUCUUAAGAAAUCAAGAGAAUUUAACAACCAGACUUCAUAAACAAGAAGCUAAAUGCCAAUAAAAUAAUACAUUAUAUGACUUUAAAGAGUUCCCUUAAAAGUCUGAAAGCAAAUCUAAGCAUUUAAUAGUCUAAUCUCUUUAAAAGGUCUUUUAAAAGCUAUAAGCUAUGUUAUAAACUGCCAGUUAAAUUCCCACUCUAGUCUACAAAAAUAAUCUGCACAAAUAUAUAAAAUUAAGGUAAUUAUAUAUUUCACAUGUUGAUUUUUUUCUUCCCAAUCUUAGGCUUGCAGUAAAGCAAGAAGUAAGCACCUAGACGUUAGUUAACUUUCAUCUGAGCAGCAUUUUGAUUUUGGAUAAAGGGAUUCUAAAUGUAGUCUAAAACUUUCCAGAAGUCAUAUUUACAUUUCAUUGUACAGCAUUUUAUAUACACAUAAAUACAGAUUUAUAAGAAAUAAACAAAUUAACCUAUACUAUUCAUAAUGUAAAAAAUAAAAAGAAAUUCAUAUGCCAAGCCAUCUAUUUGAGAAAUAUACAUGGUGUUCAGUUCUAUGGCAAAAACCUUAAAGCAUAUCACAUAAGUAUACCUAGGCCUAUCCACUGUUUUGUUAAAGUCAAUGCCAUAAAAGUAGUU